UCAAGCGACUAAGUGCACACGGUGGAUGCCUUGGCAGUUAGAGGCGAUGAAAGACGUAGGAGCCUGCGAUAAGGUGAGGGGAGCCGGCAAACAUGCUUUGAUCCUCACAUUUCUGAAUGGGGAAACCCACCCGCUUGCGGGUAUCUUGCACUGAAUACAUAGGUGUAAGAGGCGAACCCGGGGAACUGAAACAUCUAAGUACCCGGAGGAAAAGAAAUCAACCGAGAUUCCCCCAGUAGCGGCGAGCGAAAGGGGAUUAGCCGAGNGUGGAAGCUUCUGGAAAGUUGCGCGAUAGAGGGUGAUAGCCCCGUACACGAAAGCAAAGAUCGACGUAUUAAGUAGGACGGGACACGUGUUAUCUUGUCUGAAGAUGGGGGGACCAUCCUCCAAGGCUAAAUACUCCUAACUGACCGAUAGUGAACCAGUACCGUGAGGGAAAGGCGAAAAGAACCCCUGUGAGGGGAGUGAAAUAGAACCUGAAACCGUGUGCGUACAAGCAGUCGGAGCAGAUUUAUUCUGUGACGGCGUACCUUUUGUAUAAUGGGUCAGCGACUUAUUGUCUGUAGCAAGGUUAACCGAUUAGGGGAGCCGUAGGGAAACCGAGUCUUAAUAGGGCGCGAGUUGCAGGCAUUAGACCCGAAACCCGGCGAUCUAUCCAUGGCCAGGUUGAAGGUGCCGUAACAGGCACUGGAGGACCGAACCCACUUAUGUUGAAAAAUGAGGGGAUGAGCUGUGGAUCGGAGUGAAAGGCUAAUCAAGCCGGGAGAUAGCUGGUUCUCCCCGAAAACUAUUUAGGUAGUGCGUCACAUCUCACCCUCGGGGGUAGAGCACUGUUUGGGCUAGGGGGUCAUCCCGACUUACCAACCCCAUGCAAACUCCGAAUACCGAGGAGUGCAAUUGUGGCAGACAGACGGCGGGUGCUAACGUCCGUCGUCAAGAGGGAAACAACCCAGACCGCCAGCUAAGGUCCCAAAUGUUAGUUAAGUGGGAAACGAUGUGGGAAGGCUUAGACAGCUAGGAGGUUGGCUUAGAAGCAGCCAUCCUUUAAAGAAAGCGUAAUAGCUCACUAGUCGAGUCGGCCUGCGCGGAAGAUUUAACGGGGCUAAACUAGCAACCGAAGCUGCGGAUACUUUUUAAGUAUGGUAGGGGAGCGUUCUGUAAGCCGUUGAAGGUGAAUUGAGAAGUUUGCUGGAGGUAUCAGAAGUGCGAAUGCUGACAUAAGUAACGAUAAGGGGAGUGAAAAACUCCCACGCCGGAAGAUCAAGGUUUCCUGUCCAACGUUAAUCGGGACAGGGUUAGUCGACCCCUAAGGCGAGGCUGAGAAGCGUAGUCGAUGGGAAACAGGUUAACAUUCCUGUACUUUUUAUUACUGCGAUGGAGGGACGGAGUAGGCUAGGCCAGCACACUGAUGGUUGUUGUGUUUAAGGCUGUAGGCUGGUGACUUAGGCAAAUCCGGGUCGCUAAGGCUGAGAGUUGAUGACGAGACUCAUUUUGAGUUGAAGUGGUUGAUGCCAUGCUUCCAAGAAAAGCUUCUAAGCUUCAGGUAAUAAAGAAUCGUACUGUAAACCGACACAGGUGAUCAGGUAGAGAAUACCCAGGCGCUUGAGAGAACUCGGGUGAAGGAACUAGGCAAAAUGGCACCGUAACUUCGGGAGAAGGUGCGCCGGUGUUGGUGAUGGGACUUGCUCCCUAAGCUGACGCUGGUCGAAGAUACCAGGCCGCUGCGACUGUUUAUUAAAAACAUAGCACUCUGCAAACACGAAAGUGGACGUAUAGGGUGUGACGCCUGCCCGGUGCCGGAAGGUUAAUUGAUGGGGUUAGCUUCGGCGAAGCUCUUGAUCGAAGCCCCGGUAAACGGCGGCCGUAACUAUAACGGUCCUAAGGUAGCGAAAUUCCUUGUCGGGUAAGUUCCGACCUGCACGAAUGGCUAACGAAUGCAGCACCUGUCCUCCACCCGAGACUCAGUGAAAUCGCAGUUAAGAUGCUGUGUUCCCGCGGCUAGACGGAAAGACCCCGUGAACCUUUACUAUAGCUUGGCACUGAACUCUGAACCUAUUUGUGUAGGAUAGCUGGGAGGCUUUGAAGCGAUGACGCUAGUUGUUGUGGAGCCGACCUUGAAAUACCAGCCUGAUAUGUUUGGGGUUCUAACGUAGGUCCCUUAUCGGGAUUGCGGACAGUGUCUGGUGGGUAGUUUGACUGGGGCGGUCUCCUCCCAAAGAGUAACGGAGGAGCACGAAGGUACCCUAAUCCUGGUCGGAAAUCAGGAGUUUAGUGCAAUGGCAUAAGGGUGCUUGACUGCGAGACUGACAAGUCGAGCAGGUACGAAAGUAGGUCAUAGUGAUCCGGCGAUUCUGUAUGGAAGGGUCGUCGCUCAACGGAUAAAAGGUACUCCGGGGAUAACAGGCUGAUACCGCCCAAGAGUUCACAUCGACGGCGGUGUUUGGCACCUCGAUGUCGGCUCAUCACAUCCUGGGGCUGAAGCCGGUCCCAAGGGUAUGGCUGUUCGCCAUUUAAAGUGGUACGCGAGCUGGGUUUAGAACGUCGUGAGACAGUUCGGUCCCUAUCUGCCGUGGGCGUUGGAAAGUUGAGAAGAGUUGCUCCUAGUACGAGAGGACCGGAGUGAACGAACCGCUGGUGUUCGGGUUGUCAUGCCAAUGGCAUUGCCCGGUAGCUAUGUUCGGACGGGAUAACCGCUGAAAGCAUCUAAGCGGGAAGCCUCCUUCAAGAUUAGCUUUCCCUGACUCCUUGAGAGUCCUGUAGGGCCGUGGAAGACCACCACGUUGAUAGGCUGGGUGUGGAAUUGUUGAGGGUUGGGCUACCAGUUGACUUAACUUGCCCGUGCGGCUUGACCAU
rnacentral:rRNA from 1 species